UACGGGGGGGGCAAGCGUUGUUCGGAAUUACUGGGCGUAAAGGGCUCGUAGGUGGCCAACUAAGUCAUACGUGAAAUCCCUCGGCUUAACCGGGGAACUGCGUCUGAUACUGGAUGGCUUGAGUUUGGGAGAGGGACGCGGAAUUCCAGGUGUAGCGGUGAAAUGCGUAGAUAUCUGGAGGAACACCGGUGGCGAAGGCGGCGUCCUGGACCAACACUGACACUGAGGAGCGAAAGCCAGGGGAGCAAACGGG
rnacentral:rRNA from 1 species